rnacentral:rRNA from 1 species
UACGUAGGGGGCAAGCGUUGUCCGGAAUCAUUGGGCGUAAAGAGCGUGUAGGCGGCUUUACAGGUCCGCUGUGAAAACUCGAGGCUCAACCUCGAGCUGUCGGUGGAAACCGUAAGGCUAGAGUCCGGAAGAGGAGAGUGGAAUUCCCGGUGUAGCGGUGAAAUGCGCAGAUAUCGGGAAGAACACCCGUGGCGAAGGCGGCUCUCUGGGACGGUACUGACGCUGAGACGCGAAAGCGUGGGGAGCGAACAGG